rnacentral:rRNA from 1 species
GGAUGAGCCCGCGGCCUAUCAGCUUGUUGGUGAGGUAACGGCUCACCAAGGCGACGACGGGUAGCCGGCCUGAGAGGGCGACCGGCCACACUGGGACUGAGACACGGCCCAGACUCCUACGGGAGGCAGCAGUGGGGAAUAUUGCACAAUGGGCGGAAGCCUGAUGCAGCGACGCCGCGUGAGGGAUGACGGCCUUCGGGCUGUAAACCUCUUUCAGCAGGGAAGAAGCGCAAGUGACGGUACCUGCAGAAGAAGCACCGGCUAACUACGUGACAGCAGCCGCGGCCG